GUAUCCUUUCCUCUAUGAUCUAGUGAUGUCUCUUUUACAAUUAAAUUUGCUUCCGCCCCAUUUUGAUUUAUCUAUUUAUUCCCUACACAACUUAUAUUACUUUUACUCUAAAGACUUUUAAACGUUAACGUACCACUAAAAUUAGAAUGUGUUUCCUUAAAGUACCUAUUCAUACAUUUACUCAAGGGAAGCAACUUGUGCUUUUCUCAUUGGAGAAUUUAUUCACAUUAAAACAAGAUGUAGGUAUAUCAAGAAAACUUAAAACACAAGAGUUCACUUUUAUGUACAAGAAACAACUAAUUAAGAGGAGCAAAUAAAAAUUUAUGUCAUAAUUUUUUAAUAAAAAACAAGCUACUUAAUCAUGCCUUUCGCCAUAAAAACAAAACAAAAG
rnacentral:lncRNA from 1 species